rnacentral:tRNA from 1 species
CCUAAUAUGGCAGAAUAAUGCUUUAGAUUUAAACUCUAACCAUAAAUUAAUUAAUUUUAUUAGAA